CCCUUAGAUGUUCUGGGCCACACGCGUGCUACACUGAGUGGAUCAGCGGGUCAGGUUGCGCGAAAGUGUUUCCUAAUCUUUAAAUCCGCUCGUGAUGGGGAUUGACGGUUGCAAUUUUCCGUCAUGAACGAGGAAUACCUUGUAAGCGCGGGUCAUCAUCCCGCGCUGAAUACGUCCCUGCCCUUUGUACACACCGCCCGUCGCUCCUACCGAUUGAGUGGUCCGGUGAGGCUUUGGGAUCUGAGCGGAAAGAGCGUUUCGCUGUUUCUGCUCGGAAAACUCAGUCGAACCUUAUCAUUUAGAGGAAGGAGAAGUCGUAACA
rnacentral:rRNA from 1 species